rnacentral:rRNA from 1 species
GAUGAACGUUGGCGGUGUGCCUAAUACAUGCAAGUCGAACGGAGAUUGUAGCGAUACGGUCUUAGUGGCGAACGGGUGAGUAACGCGUUGGUGAUCUGCCUCGAAGUGUGGAAUAACGAUUCGAAAGAAUCGCUAAUACCGCAUAGUCUCUCUUUUUCCAGAAAUUUGAGAGUAAAGGAUUUAUUCGCUUUGAGAGGAGCCUGCGUCCCAUCAGCUAGUUGGUAAGGUAAUGGCCUACCAAGGCGAUGACGGGUAGGGGACCUGAGAGGGUGGCCCCCCACAAUGGAACUGAAACACGGUCCAUACACCUACGGGUGGCAGCAGUAGGGAAUAUUAGAAAUGGACGAAAGUCUGAUCUAGCAACACCGCGUGUGCGAAGAAGGCCUUCGGGUUGUAAAGCACUUUUUGGAAGGAUUAGGAAGGAAUGUACUUCCAGAAUAAGUCUCGGCUAACUACGUGCCAGCAGCCGCGGUAACAC